CCUACGGGAGGCAGCAGUGAGGAAUAUUGGUCAAUGGCCGUAAGGCUGAACCAGCCAAGUAGCGUGAGGGAAGACUGCCCUAUGGGUUGUAAACCUCUUUUAUGCGGGGAUAAAGGUGUCCACGUGUGGAUGUUUGCAGGUACCGCAUGAAUAAGGACCGGCUAAUUCCGUGCCAGCAGCCGCGGUAAUACGGAAGGUCCGGGCGUUAUCCGGAUUUAUUGGGUUUAAAGGGAGCGUAGGCCGGUCUUUAAGCGUGCCGUGAAAUUUUGUGGCUCAACCAUGGGAGUGCGGCGCGAACUGGAGGCCUUGAGUGCGCGGAAGGCAGGCGGAAUUCGUGGUGUAGCGGUGAAAUGCUUAGAUAUCACGAAGAACCCCGAUUGCGAAGGCAGCCUGCCGCAGCGUUACUGACGCUGAAGCUCGAAAGCGCGGGUAUCGAACAGGGUUAGAUACCCGGGUAGUC
rnacentral:rRNA from 1 species